GAUGAACGCUUGCGGCGUGCCUAAUACAUGCAAGUCGAGCGAACAGACGAGGAGCUUGCUCCUCUGACGUUAGCGGCGGACGGGUGAGUAACACGUGGAUAACCUACCUAUAAGACUGGGAUAACUUCGGGAAACCGGAGCUAAUACCGGAUAAUAUAUUGAACCGCAUGGUUCAAUAGUGAAAGACGGUUUUGCUGUCACUUAUAGAUGGAUCCGCGCCGCAUUAGCUAGUUGGUAAGGUAACGGCUUACCAAGGCAACGAUGCGUAGCCGACCUGAGAGGGUGAUCGGCCACACUGGAACUGAGACACGGUCCAGACUCCUACGGGAGGCAGCAGUAGGGAAUCUUCCGCAAUGGGCAAAAGCCUGACGGAGCAACGCCGCGUGAGUGAUGAAGGUCUUCGGAUCGUAAAACUCUGUUAUUAGGGAAGAACAAAUGUGUAAGUAACUAUGCACGUCUUGACGGUACCUAAUCAGAAAGCCACGGCUAACUACGUG
rnacentral:rRNA from 1 species